CGGCGGACGGGUGAGUAACACGUGGAUAACCUACCUAUAAGACUGGGAUAACUUCGGGAAACCGGAGCUAAUACCGGAUAAUAUUUUGAACCGCAUGGUUCAAAAGUGAAAGACGGUCUUGCUGUCACUUAUAGAUGGAUCCGCGCUGCAUUAGCUAGUUGGUAAGGUAACGGCUUACCAAGGCAACGAUGCAUAGCCGACCUGGGAGGGUGAUCGGCCACACUGGAACUGAGACACGGUCCAG
rnacentral:rRNA from 1 species